UACGAAGGGGGCUAGCGUUGUUCGGAAUUACUGGGCGUAAAGCGCGCGUAGGCGGUUUUGCAAGCCAGAGGUGAAAUGCCUGAGCUCAACUCAGGAAUGGCCUUUGGGACUGCGAGGCUUUGAGGACUGGAGAGGUGAGUGGAAUUCCCAGUGUAGAGGUGAAAUUCGUAGAUAUUGGGAGGAACACCAGUGGCGAAGGCGACUACCUGGCCUGUUCUUGACGCUGAGGCGCGAAAGCUAGGGGAGCAAACGGG
rnacentral:rRNA from 1 species